AUGCAAGUCGAACGGCAGCACGGGGGCAACCCUGGUGGCGAGUGGCGAACGGGUGAGUAAUACAUCGGAACGUGUCCUGGAGUGGGGGAUAGCCCGGCGAAAGCCGGAUUAAUACCGCAUACGCUCUGUGGAGGAAAGCGGGGGAUCUUCGGACCUCGCGCUCAAGGGGCGGCCGAUGGCAGAUUAGGUAGUUGGUGGGGUAAAGGCCUACCAAGCCGACGAUCUGUAGCUGGUCUGAGAGGACGACCAGCCACACUGGGACUGAGACACGGCCCAGACUCCUACGGGAGGCAGCAGUGGGGAAUUUUGGACAAUGGGCGCAAGCCUGAUCCAGCAAUGCCGCGUGUGUGAAGAAGGCCUUCGGGUUGUAAAGCACUUUUGUCCGGAAAGAAAACCUCUGGGUUAAUACCCCGGUGGGAUGACGGUACCGGAAGAAUAAGCACCGGCUAACUACGUGCCAGCAGCCGCGGUAAUACGUAGGGUGCGAGCGUUAAUCGGAAUUACUGGGCGUAAAGCGUGCGCAGGCGGUGAUGUAAGACCGAUGUGAAAUCCCCGGGCUUAACC
rnacentral:rRNA from 1 species